rnacentral:rRNA from 1 species
AGAGUUUGAUCCUGGCUCAGGGUGAACGCUGGCGGCGCGCUUAAUGCAUGCAAGUCGAACGUGCCUUCGGGCAAGUGGCAGACGGCUGAGUAACGCGUGAGUAACGUGCCCUCCGGUGGGGUAUAGCCUCGGGAAACUGAGAGUAAUCCCGCAUACGAUCCGGUGGCCUUGGUUGCCGGAUGAAAGCCUUCGGGCGCCGGAGGAGCGGCUCGCGUCCUAUCAGGUAGUUGGUGGGGUAAAAGCCCACCAAGCCGAUGACGGGUAGCUGGUCUGAGAGGACGAUCAGCCAGAGGGGGACUGAGACACGGCCCCCACUCCUACGGGAGGCAGCAGCAGGGAAUUUUGGGCAAUGGGCGAAAGCCUGACCCAGCGACGUCGCGUGAGGGAAGAAGGCCUUAGGGCUGUAAACCUCUUUUCCCGGGGAAGAGAAAGGACGGUACCCGGGGAAUAAGCUCCGGCUAACUACGUGCCAGCAGCCGCGGUAAUACGUAGGGAGCAAGCGUUACCCGGAAUUACUGGGCGUAAAGAGCGCGUAGGCGGCUUGGCUAGUCUCUUGUGAAAGCUCCCGGCUCAACUGGGAGAGGUCAAGGGAUACUGCCUCGCUUGAGGGCGGUAGAGGAAAGCGGAAUUCCCGGUGUAGCGGCGAAAUGCGUAGAUAUCGGGAGGAACACCAGUGGCGAAGGCGGCUUUCUGGGCCGUGCCUGACGCUGAGGCGCGAGAGCGUGGGGAGCAAACUGGAUUAGAUACCCAGGUAGUCCACGCCCUAAACGAUGAAUGCUAGGUACAGGGGGUAUCGACCCCUCCUGUGCCGAAGCUAACGCGAUAAGCAUUCCGCCUGGGGAGUACGGCCGCAAGGCUAAAACUCAAAGGAAUUGACGGGGGCCCGCACAAGCGGUGGAGCGUGUGGUUUAAUUCGAUGCUAAGCGAAGAACCUUACCAGGGCUUGACAUGCUGGUAGUAAGAACCCGAAAGGGUGAUGAUCCGGGGGUAACUCCGGAAGCCUUCACAGGUGCUGCAUGGCUGUCGUCAGCUCGUG